UACGUAGGGUGCGAGCGUUAAUCGGAAUUACUGGGCGUAAAGCGUGCGCAGGCGGUGAUGUAAGACCGAUGUGAAAUCCCCGGGCUUAACCUGGGAACUGCAUUGGUGACUGCAUCGCUCGAGUAUGGCAGAGGGGGGUAGAAUUCCACGUGUAGCAGUGAAAUGCGUAGAUAUGUGGAGGAACACCGAUGGCGAAGGCAGCCUUCUGGGCCAACACUGACGCUCAUGCACGAAAGCGUGGGGAGCAAACAGG
rnacentral:rRNA from 1 species